rnacentral:sRNA from 1 species
GCUGGGUGCAGUGUGCACACCUGUAUCCCAGCUGCUCUGGAGGCUGAGACAGGAGGAUCACUAGUUCAAAGCCAGCCUUAGCAAAAGUGAGGUGCUAAGCAACUCAGUGAGACCUUAUCUCUA